GAUUUGCCUCUUCUCCCAGGUAACAAGUGACAGGAUGAGAGGACAUAGUCUCAAGAUGUGCCAGGGGAGAUUUAAGUUGGACAUUAGGAGUAAUUUCUUCACAUAAAGGGUAAUUAAACAAUGGAACGGACUGCCCAGGAAGGUGCUGGAGUCACUGCCCCUGGAGGUAAGGCUGGUUGUGGAACUUAGUG